rnacentral:rRNA from 1 species
GACGAACGCUGGCGGCGUGCUUAACACAUGCAAGUCGAACGGAAAGGCCCUGCUUGCAGGGUACUCGAGUGGCGAACGGGUGAGUAACACGUGGGUGAUCUGCCCUGCACUUCGGGAUAAGCCUGGGAAACUGGGUCUAAUACCGGAUAGGAGCCAUUUUUAGUGUGAUGGUUGGAAAGUUUUUUCGGUGUAGGAUGAGCUCGCGGCCUAUCAGCUUGUUGGUGGGGUAAUGGCCUACCAAGGCGGCGACGGGUAGCCGGCCUGAGAGGGUGGACGGCCACACUGGGACUGAGAUACGGCCCAGACUCCUACGGGAGGCAGCAGUGGGGAAUAUUGCACAAUGGGCGCAAGCCUGAUGCAGCGACGCCGCGUGGGGGAUGACGGCCUUCGGGUUGUAAACUCCUUUCGCUAGGGACGAAGCUUUUGUGACGGUACCUAGAUAAGAAGCACCGGCUAACUACGUG